UAGGGAAUCUUCCGCAAUGGACGAAAGUCUGACGGAGCAACGCCGCGUGAGUGAAGAAGGAUUUCGGUUCGUAAAACUCUGUUGUUAGGGAAGAAAAAAUGUAUAGUAACUAUAUACAAAAGAGACGGUACCUAACCAGAAAGCCACGGCUAACUACGUGCCAGCAGCAGCGGUAAUACGUAGGUGGCAAGCGUUGUCCGGAAUUAUUGGGCGUAAAGCGCGCGCAGGUGGUUUAGAAAGUCUGAUGUGAAAGCCCACGGCUCAACCGUGGAGGGUCAUUGGAAACUAAUAAACUUGAGUGCAGGAGAGAAAAGUAGAAUUCCUAGUGUAGCGGUGAAAUGCGCAGAUAUUAGGAGGAAUACCGGUGGCGAAGGCGACUUUCUGGCCAUAUACAGACGCUGAGGUACGAAAGCGUGGGUAGCAAACAGG
rnacentral:rRNA from 1 species